CAGACCAGUGGUGAUGGCUGGUGUUGUAUGAAUCACGGUUGAUGAAUACAUCUGGAACUCUGAGGUCCAG
ensembl:snoRNA